CACACUGGACCAAAAUGGACUACAACUCAGUAAUGUUUCUCUUUAUCAUCUGCUUUAUGGGUGUCGAUGGCCAGAGUCUGAUAGAAUCAGGUCCAGUGGUUAAAAGACCUGGAGAAUCCCACAAACUGACCUGCACAGCCUCUGGAUUCACAUUUAGUGACUACUGGAUGUCCUGGAUAAGACAGAGUCCAGGGAAAGGACCGGAGUGGCUCGCUGAUAUCAGGGGUGAUGGUGGCAACACAUAUCAUUCCCAGUCAGUUCAAGGCCGGUUCACCAUCUCCAGAGACAACAGCAGAAGUCAGGUGUAUCUGCAGAUGAACAGCCUGAGAACAGAAGAUUCUGCUGUUUAUUUCUGCGCUCGAGAGACACAGUUCUACAGGUCAGAGAAUGGAGUCCAUUCCCUCCAGUGCAGUGAUGAAAAGGCCAGGAGAGACUCUGAGUCUCUCCUGCAGAGGAUCCGGCUUCUCAUUCGGGUCCUAUGA